GACGAACGCUGGCGGCGUGCCUAAUACAUGCAAGUCGAGCGGACGGAUGGGAGCUUGCUCCCAGACCGUCAGCGGCGGACGGGUGAGUAACACGUGGGCAACCUGCCUGUAAGACUGGGAUAACUCCGGGAAACCGGGGCUAAUACCGGAUAACUCUUUCCCUCCCAUGAGGGAAAGCUGAAAGAUGGCAUCUCGCUAUCACUUACAGAUGGGCCCGCGGCGCAUUAGCUAGUUGGUGAGGUAACGGCUCACCAAGGCGACGAUGCGUAGCCGACCUGAGAGGGUGAUCGGCCACACUGGGACUGAGACACGGCCCAGACUCCUACGGGAGGCAGCAGUAGGGAAUCUUCCGCAAUGGACGAAAGUCUGACGGAGCAACGCCGCGUGAGUGAUGAAGGUGUUCGGAUCGUAAAACUCUGUUGUCAGGGAAGAACAAGUACCGGAGUAACUGCCGGUACCUUGACGGUACCUGACCAGAAAGCCACGGCUAACUACGUG
rnacentral:rRNA from 1 species